AGUAAGCCAAUAAUUAGCGCUCGCAUUGCUACACGAUAGUCCGCAGCUCUUUCGGUAAUUACAAGCCCCGUGUAUAAUCGAAAUUGUUCGUUUCACUAGACGCUUUAUUCCAAUCAGCUCGUCAUUUCAUCACAUAUGCGACUGUGUUUAUUCUUACCAAAUGAGCAAGUUUGUUUUAACCUCGAUUGGAGCGAUCCGCGAAGAAUCAAAAUGAUUAGCGAAAGCGCCAAAAACAAAUAUUUAAACAACUAAUACGAAGAAGCACCAGCGAAAUACUCGCAUUGAACGAGGCUGAGUCUAGACGUUGAUCAUGACUGCUCUUGAAAGGUACACGAGCGAGAAGAUCUUUCUGUUUGUCGUAUAAGAAAUAAGGGUGACCGUGGUGGACGAGAGGAUAAGACAAGGAAGACGGAGGAAAGGAGAGAGCAGCAUGAUUUAUGAUUCAACUCAGCUGGGAACCGAGCAUAAGAUAUCAUCAGAAAUGUCAUACGAAAGAUAAUACGUUGACGUCUUACGUUGAGAGAUUGAAAACAAGCUUGUUGAGACAGAGGACCGUUACGUUAUAGCAUUACCUUAUAAGAAGCGUCGACUCAGAACACUCCAUCAGUUUCUUUGACCGAAAGUUGAUUUACGUCAGACGCUGAGUCAAAGAGCGGUCGAGUGCUUUAACAUUAGACUUGGAAUGUUAGCGAACGUUGCAACCGUCCUUGCGCAUCUCUCGCUGCUGCAACUGAGUGUGCAACCGUCCGAAACGCAAACCGUCGUGCUGGUAUCGCGUUGUUGCUCGAAAUAACGAGUAACCGUGUUUGCUCGUAAUAUGUUUUUCUCAAAUACGACAAAUUAAUGGAUAAUGAUUUGCGAGCUCUUUAUCAAUGAAUUUCAUUCGACAAC